AUUGAACGCUGGCGGCAUGCCUUACACAUGCAAGUCGAACGGCAGCACGGGAGCAAUCCUGGUGGCGAGUGGCGAACGGGUGAGUAAAGUAUCGGAACGUGCCCAGUCGUGGGGGAUAACGUAGCGAAAGUUACGCUAAUACCGCAUACGAUCUAUGGAUGAAAGCGGGGGAUCGCAAGACCUCGCGCGAUUGGAGCGGACGAUAUCAGAUUCGGUAGUUGGUGGGGUAAAGGCUCACCAAGCCGACGGUCUGUAGCCGGUCUGAGAGGACGACCAGCCACACUGGGACUGAGGCACGGCCCAGACUCCUACGGGAGGCAGCAGUGGGGAACUUUGGACAAUGGGCGAAAGCCUGAUCCAGCCAUGCCGCGUGCAGGAUGAAGGCCUUCGGGUUGUAAACUGCUUUUGUACGGAACGAAAAGGUUUGGCCUAAUAAGCUGAGCUCAUGACGGUACCGUAAGAAUAAGCACCGGCUAACUACGUGCCAGCCGCCGCCGUAA
rnacentral:rRNA from 1 species